UUUGAUGAGAAGAAGAACCUCAUUCUUGUUCAGUCGCAUUGACCAACGAAAAGACUUCUGUCUUCUGGGCACCUGAUACAUGUGAAAGAACUGAAAGCACACAUCAAAGGAAGCUUCUCUUGGGAAGAGAGG
rfam:Ailuropoda melanoleuca scaffold413_27, whole genome shotgun sequence.